GCCCGGGUGGCGAAAUUGGUAGACGCACCAUCUUGAGGGGGUGGCAUUCGUAAGGAUGUACGAGUUCGAAUCUCGUCUCGGGCACAA
rnacentral:tRNA from 1 species